AACGAACGCUGGCGGCAUGCCUAACACAUGCAAGUCGAACGAGACCUUCGGGUCUAGUGGCGCACGGGUGCGUAACGCGUGGGAACCUGCCCUUAGGUUCGGAAUAACUCUCCGAAAGGGGUGCUAAUACCGGAUAAUUUCUUCUGACCACAGAUUUAUCGACUUUGUAUGGGCCCGCGUUGGAUUAGCUAGUUGGUAGGGUAAAAGCCUACCAAGGCGAGGAUCCAUAGCUGGUCUGAGAGGAUGAUCAGCCACACUGGGACUGUGACACGGCCCAGACUCCUACGGGAGGCAGGAGUGGGGAAUAUUGGACAAUGGGCGAAAGCCUGAUCGAGCAAUGCCGCGUGAGUGAUGAAGGCCUUAGGGUUGUAAAGCUCUUUUACCCGGGAUGAUAAUGACAGUACCGGGAGAAUAAGCUCCGGCUAACUCCGUG
rnacentral:rRNA from 1 species